rnacentral:rRNA from 1 species
UACGUAGGGCGCAAGCGUUGUCCGGAAUUAUUGGGCGUAAAGAGCUCGUAGGCGGUUUGUCGCGUCUGCCGUGAAAUCCUCAGGCUUAACCUGGGGCGUGCGGUGGGUACGGGCAGGCUAGAGUGCGGUAGGGAGAUUGGAAUUCCUGGUGUAGCGGUGGAAUGCGCAGAUAUCAGGAGGAACACCGAUGGCGAAGGCAGAUCUCUGGGCCGGCUACUGACGCUGAGGAGCGAAAGCAUGGGGAGCGAACAGGAUUAGAUA